UACGGAGGGUGCGAGCGUUGUCCGGAAUCAUUGGGCGUAAAGGGCGCGUAGGUGGCUCGCCAAGCGGGCGGUGAAAGCCUGGGGCUCAACCCCGGGUCGGCCGUGCGAACUGGCGAGCUGGAGCACUGUAGAGGCAGGCGGAAUUCCCGGUGUAGCAGUGAAAUGCGUAGAGAUCGGGAGGAACAUCAGUUGCGAAGGCGGCUCUCUGGACCAGCACUGACACUGAGGCACGAAAGCGUGGGGAGCAAACAGG
rnacentral:rRNA from 1 species